UACGUAGGGGGCAAGCGUUGUCCGGAAUCAUUGGGCGUAAAGCGCGUGUAGGCGGCUUGGCAAGUCCGCUCUGAAAGCCCGGGGCUCAACCCCGGGAGGCGGGUGGAUACUGUCAAGCUCGAGUCCGGAAGAGGCGAGUGGAAUUCCUGGUGUAGCGGUGAAAUGCGCAGAUAUCAGGAGGAACACCAAUGGCGAAGGCAGCUCGCUGGGACGUGACUGACGCUGAGACGCGAAAGCGUGGGGAGCAAACAGG
rnacentral:rRNA from 1 species